CCCUGGCUCAGGAUGAACGCAGGCGGCGUGCCUAAUACAUGCAAGUCGAGCGAAUGGAUUAAGAGCUUGCUCUUAUGAAGUUAGCGGCGGACGGGUGAGUAACACGUGGGUAACCUACCCAUAAGACUGGGAUAACUCCGGGAAACCGGGGCUAAUACCGGAUAAUAUUUUGAACUGCAUAGUUCGAAAUUGAAAGGCGGCUUCGGCUGUCACUUAUGGAUGGACCCGCGUCGCAUUAGCUAGUUGGUGAGGUAACGGCUCACCAAGGCAACGAUGCGUAGCCGACCUGAGAGGGUGAUCGGCCACACUGGGACUGAGACACGGCCCAGACUCCUACGGGAGGCAGCAGUAGGGAAUCUUCCGCAAUGGACGAAAGUCUGACGGAGCAACGCCGCGUGAGUGAUGAAGGCUUUCGGGUCGUAAAACUCUGUUGUUAGGGAAGAACAAGUGCUAGUUGAAUAAGCUGGCACCUUGACGGUACCUAACCAGAAAGCCACGGCUAACUA
rnacentral:rRNA from 1 species